UUAAAGGCCGCGGUAUCAUGACCGUGCGAAGGUAGCAUAAUCAUUAGUCUUUUAAUUGGGGGCUGGUAUGAAGGGUCGGACGAGAAAUGAGCUGUCUUAAAUUUUGAAAAUUGAAUUUAACUUUUAAGUGAGAAGGCUUAAAUAGGCUAGGGGGACGAUAAGACCCUAUAAAGUUUGACAUUAAAUUAAUUAAGGGUGAUUUAGAUUAUAAAGUCUUAUUAUUAUAUAAGUGUUUAGUUGGGGCGACUAGGAUAUAAGUUAUUUAACUGUUUCUUCAUUCGAAUCAAAAAUUUUUGAUUUUAUGAUCCUUUUUAAGGGUACUAGAGUAAAUUACUUUAGGGAUAACAGCGUAAUUUUUUUUGAGAGUUCUUAUCGAUAAAAGAGUUUGCGACCUCGAUGUUGAAUUAAAAUUUCUUUGUAAUGCAGCAGUUACAAGAGAGGGUCUGUUCGACCUUUAAAUUUUUACAUGAUUUGAGUUC
rnacentral:rRNA from 1 species